rnacentral:rRNA from 1 species
UACGUAGGUGGCAAGCGUUGUCCGGAUUUACUGGGCGUAAAGGGCGUGCAGGCGGUCUGUUAAGUGCAGGGUGAAAGCUCCCGGCUCAACUGGGAGAGGUCCUUGCAUACUGGCGGACUUGAGGGGGGUAGAGGAUAGUGGAAUUCCCGGUGUAGUGGUGAUAUGCGUAGAUAUCGGGAGGAACACCUGUGGCGAAGGCGGCUUUCUGGGCCCUACCUGACGCUGAGACGCGAAAGCGUGGGGAGCGAACCGG